rnacentral:rRNA from 1 species
GAGUUUGAUCGUGGCUCAGAUUGAACGCUGGCGGCAGGCCUAACACAUGCAAGUCGGGCGGUAGAGAGAAGCUUGCUUCUCUUGAGAGCGGCGGACGGGUGAGUAAUGCCUAGGAAUCUGCCUGGUAGUGGGGGAUAACGCUCGGAAACGGACGCUAAAUACCGCAUACGUCCUACGGGAGAAAGCAGGGGACCUUCGGGCCUUGCGCUAUCAGAUGAGCCUAGGUCGGAUUAGCUAGUUGGUGAGGUAAUGGCUCACCAAGGACGACGAUCCGUAACUGGUCUGAGAGGAUGAUCAGUCACACUGGAACUGAGACACGGUCCAGACUCCUACGGGAGG